GAUGAACGCUAGCUACAGGCUUAACACAUGCAAGUCGCGGGGCAGCAUGGGGGUUGCUUGCAAUCCCCGAUGGCGACCGGCGCUCGGGUGAGUAACGCGUAUCCAACCUGCCCUUCACCACGGGAUAACCCGGCGAAAGUCGGACUAAUACCGUAUGUUGUCCAUUGACGGCAUCCGAUUUGGACGAAAGGUUUGGCGGUGAAGGAUGGGGAUGCGUCCGAUUAGCUGGACGGCGGGGUGACGGCCCACCGUGGCGACGAUCGGUAGGGGUUCUGAGAGGGAGGUCCCCCACACUGGAACUGAGACACGGUCCAGACUCCUACGGGAGGCAGCAGUGAGGAAUAUUGGUCAAUGGGCGUAAGCCUGAACCAGCCAAGUAGCGUGCAGGAUGACGGCCCUAUGGGUUGUAAACUGCUUUUAUGCGGGGAUAAAGUGGCCCACGUGUGGGUUUUUGCAGGUACCGCAUGAAUAAGGACCGGCUAAUUCCGUG
rnacentral:rRNA from 1 species